rnacentral:rRNA from 1 species
UACGGGGGGGGCAAGCGUUGUUCGGAAUUACUGGGCGUAAAGGGCUCGUAGGCGGCCAACUAAGUCAGACGUGAAAUCCCUCGGCUUAACCGGGGAACUGCAUCUGAUACUGGAAGGCUUGAAUCCGGGAGAGGGAUGUGGAAUUCCAGGUGUAGCGGUGAAAUGCUUAGAUAUGACAUAGAACACCAAUUGCGAAGGCAGCUCGCUACACGAAUAUUGACUCUGAGGCACGAAAGCGUGGGGAUCAAACAGG